rnacentral:misc_RNA from 1 species
AAUUCGUAACAAGGUUUCCGUAGGUGAACCUGCGGAAGGAUCAUUAAAAAGAAUUAUACACUUUGCAUUUGCGAACAAAAAAAUAAAUUUUUUUAUUCUAACAAACUAAAUCAAAACUUUCAACAACGGAUCUCUUGGUUCUC